rnacentral:rRNA from 1 species
UAGGGAAUCUUCCGCAAUGGACGCAAGUCUGACGGAGCAACGCCGCGUGAGUGAAGAAGGAUUUCGGUUCGUAAAACUCUGUUGUUAGAGAAGAACAGCGCAUAGAGUAACUGUUAUGCGUGUGACGGUAUCUAACCAGAAAGCCACGGCUAACUACGUGCCAGCAGCCGCGGUAAUACGUAAGGUCCGAGCGUUGUCCGGAAUCAUUGGGCGUAAAGGGUACGUAGGCGGGUAAGCAAGUUAGAAGUGAAAUCCUGUAGCUCAACUACAGUAAGCUUUUAAAACUGCUCAUCUUGAGAUAUGGAAGGGAAAGUGGAAUUCCUAGUGUAGCGGUGAAAUGCGCAGAUAUUAGGAGGAAUACCGGUGGCGAAGGCGACUUUCUGGCCAUAAUCUGACGCGGAGGUACGAAAGCGUGGGUAGCAAACAGG